GCGCACAGGCGCGAAUCUUCGGCAAUGGGGGAAACCCUGACCGAGCGACGCCGCGUGUGGGAUGAAGGCCCUUGGGUUGUAAACCACUGUCAGAGGGGAUGAAAUGCCGGAAAGUUAUCUCUCCGGUUUGACAUAGCCUCAGAGGAAGCACGGGCUAAGUUCGUGCCAGCAGCCGCGGUAAGACGAACUGUGCAAACGUUAUUCGGAAUCACUGGGCCUGAAGAGUGCGUAGGCGGUUUCGUAAGUAGGGUGUGAAAGCCCCCGGCUCAACCGGGGAAUUGCGUCCUAAACUGCGAGGCUGGAGUGAGGUAGGGGUGUGUGGAACUUCCAGUGGAGCGGUGAAAUGUGUUGAUAUUGGAAGGAACGCCGGUGGCGAAAGCGACACACUGGACCUUGUCUGACGCUGAGGCACGAAAGCCAGGGGAG
rnacentral:rRNA from 1 species